CAAAGCCGCGAGGUGGAGNGAACCCCUAAAAGUGUCCCAGUUCAGAUCGCAGUCUGCAACUCGACUGCGUGAAGUCGGAAUCGCUAGUAAUCGCGGAUCAGCAUGCCGCGGUGAAUACGUUCCCGGGCCUUGUACACACCGCCCGUCACACCAUGAGAGUCGGGAACACCCGAAGUCCGUAGCCUAACCGCAAGGGAGGAGCUGCCUAAGGUGGAGCCAUUAACUGGGGUGAAGUCGUAACAAGGUAGC
rnacentral:rRNA from 1 species